AGAGUUUGAUCAUGGCUCAGGAUGAACGCUAGCGGCAGGCCUAAUACAUGCAAGUCGAGGGGCAACAGGUGUAGCAAUACAUGCUGGCGACCGGCGCACGGGUGCGUAACACGUAUGUAAUCUACCCAUUACUGGAAGAUAGCCCGGAGAAAUUCGGAUUAAUACUCCAUAACACUAUAACAUGGCAUCAUGAAGUAGUUAAAGAUUUAUCGGUAAUGGAAGAGCAUGCGGCUGAUUAGCUAGUUGGUGAGGUAACGGCUCACCAAGGCAACGAUCAGUAGGGGACCUGAGAGGGUGAUCCCCCACACUGGUACUGAGAUACGGACCAGACUCCUACGGGAGGCAGCAGUAGGGAAUAUUGGGCAAUGGAGGCAACUCUGACCCAGCCAUGCCGCGUGCAGGAAGACGGCCUUCUGGGUUGUAAACUGCUUUUGAUCGGGAACAAAGAGCCCUGCGAGGGAAGUUGAGUGUACCGAUAGAAUAAGCACCGGCUAACUCCGUGCCAGCAGCCGCGGUA
rnacentral:rRNA from 1 species